CCUACGGGUGGCAGCAGUGAGGAAUAUUGAUCAAUGGACGAGAGUCUGAACCAGCCAAGUAGCGUGAAGGAUGACUGCCCUAUGGGUUGUAAACUUCUUUUAUAUGGGAAUAAAAUGUUCCACGUGUGGGAUUUUGUAUGUACCAUAUGAAUAAGGAUCGGCUAACUCCGUGCCAGCAGCCGCGGUAAUACGGAGGAUCCGAGCGUUAUCCGGAUUUAUUGGGUUUAAAGGGAGCGUAGGUGGAUUGUUAAGUCAGUUGUGAAAGUUUGCAGCUCAACCGUAAAAUUGCAGUUGAAACUGGCAGUCUUGAGUACAGUAGAGGUGGGCGGAAUUCGUGGUGUAGCGGUGAAAUGCUUAGAUAUCACGAAGAACUCCGAUUGCGAAGGCAGUUCACUGGACUGCAACUGACACUGAGGCUCGAAAGUGUGGGUAUCAAACAGGAUUAGAUACCCUUGUAGUC
rnacentral:rRNA from 1 species